rnacentral:lncRNA from 1 species
AUUUGGAUGAAGCCAACUUUUCUCACAUUAUCCAUUGCAAAGGACCAGCGGAAGCAUGGAAGAUACUUUGCAACAUAUAUGAGAGCAAGAACUUGUCCAACAUCCUCUUCACAAGAAGAAAAUUCUUCACUUGUAAGAUGGAAGAAGGUGAAGACCUCAUGGCACAUGUUAAUAAGGUAAAGGCUCUUGCAAAUCAACUAGCAAUUGUUGACA